rnacentral:rRNA from 1 species
CCUACGGGCGGCAGCAGUGAGGAAUAUUGGUCAAUGGACGGAAGUCUGAACCAGCCAUGCCGCGUGCAGGAAGACGGCUCUAUGAGUUGUAAACUGCUUUUGUACAAGGGUAAACCUGAAUACGUGUAUUCAGCUGAAAGUACUGUACGAAUAAGGAUCGGCUAACUCCGUGCCAGCAGCCGCGGUAAUACGGAGGAUCCAAGCGUUAUCCGGAUUUAUUGGGUUUAAAGGGUGCGUAGGCGGAUUGAUAAGUUAGUGGUGAAAGGUUCGAGCUUAACUCGGGAACUGCCUCUAAUACUGGUGAUCUAGAGAGUAGAUGCGGUAGGCGGAAUGUAUGGUGUAGCGGUGAAAUGCUUAGAGAUCAUACAGAACACCGAUUGCGAAGGCAGCUUACCAAGCUAUAUCUGACGUUGAGGCACGAAAGCGUGGGGAGCAAACAGGAUUAGAUACCCCUGUAGUC